CGCAACUAAAAGCCUCAGCAACGGUCCUAUUAAUCAAUAAGUGAUUUUGCACAUGCGCUCAUAAAUGUAUUGCAAGUACGUGACGGUGUGGUGAUUUAUUGAUCUUUCGAGAUGAGUUUCCCUAGCGACUGUGCGCGUUUCUAUGGUUACGCAACAGGUAGGGCGGGCGUUUUCUCAAUUUCUCAUCUCACCAGCUCACUAGCUGCUUGCUGCUGCUUGGAAACGGUCCACUUUCAGAGAGCACCUCCUAACUGAAGUCACAAUUCCUGCAAUUUUCCUGUAUUUUGCCGAAUUGAAAAUGGAAGAAGCUUCUCUCUAGUACAGAAUACUUCAAACCCCAAAUAUCGGCUACUGCAGAGACCAAGGAUGUGGCUGGAGUAAGUGGCUUCUUUUGAUACAUAAGUGCCACAACUUCAUCAGUGUGGUGUGGAUUCUGCCAAUCUAGAACCAGCUGUAGUCAAUAACUUGUGCCGAGUUCUAGAAAAGAAUUUGGAUCACCGUUGAAAUCAGCUACUGCAGAGACCAAGGAUGUGGCUGGAGUAAGUGGCUUCUUUUGAUACAUAAGUGCCACAACUUCAUCAGUGUGGUGUGGAUUCUGCCAAUCUAGAACCAGCUGUAGUCAAUAACUUGUGCCGAGUUCUAGAGAAGAAUUUGGAUCACCGUUGAAAUCAAUUGAGACAGUGAAGAAGAACGUCACUGGAUGAAAUGGCUUACUACGACGAAAAUGGGGAGAAUAACCCAUUCAGAAGUGGCGUGGAACAUGACACCAUGGUACGAACUUUACUCAAUAACCCAUUCCGAAUCAGCGGGUCAACAGCCGAAGGUGACAACUUCUUACAAAAACGUACUUUCUUCAAUUGUUUGGUAAUUAGUAAUGAGCCUCGAAAAUUACCCGGCACAAAACAAAUAGCGAAAAUCAUAAGAGAAACUUAUUUCUUAGGGAAUGUAUUAGAUUCUUAUAACUAUGACGUGGAUGAGUCUGUAACUGACUCUGACUGGGAUCAUGAUUAUAAUGAAGUGUAUUUGUCUGAGGUACCUUUGGAGAGUAGAUUUCCUGAACCAUCCAGUACAAAAUGUGGAACUCGUCCACAUCCUAGAUCCAGUAAACGACUUAAAACGGGAAAACAUAUAAGAAAACGUUCACAACGUGGAAUUGAUCCACAUCCUGAAACCACCGCACAACCCAAAACCAGAGAACAUCAUAGAAAAAGUACUCAAUAUGAAACUAGUCCACAGCCUGGAACCAGUUCACAAUUUGGAACAAGUGAACAUCGUGGAACUA